AUAGGUAGAACCGUCAAUUUCCGUCUUCCAUUUGGCUUAGAAACCCUAACUAAACCCCUGCAUAACCGUAAACCUUUGAUCGGAAAAAUGAACCGGCCGGUGAGUUUGCUCGACGACGCUCUAAAUCUCGAAUCGACACAAAAAGGUCGUGUGGUUUUAGUGGAGGAUUGCGUCGAAACUAGCGGCGCGUUCGUUCUUCACCACCUCAUAAAACGGUUUCUUUCUCCUAAUCUUUCGGCAUCAGAUAGUAUCGUCUUGUUUGUGGCUUUCGCUCAACCGUUUUCUCACUACGACCGUGUCCUCCGUAAGAUGGGUUGCAACUUAGCUGCGCUACGGGAGACUAAAAGGUUGUUAUUUUUUGACAUGCUUAUGCUGGAAUGUCCAGGUGAGAAUAUCAGAUGACGGAGUUGAAGGUGGAUUAAUUGCUUUAUACGGGAAUAUUCAGAAAGCUGUGGAAGUUAAUUCAUCAAACAAGAAUAUUACACUUAUAAUUGAUGAUAUUUCUCUUCUAGAAGUGGCUGCUAAUGGUUCUACAAAAGACGUUCUAAAUUUUAUGCAUUACUGCCAUACAUUAACCGCACAGUUUGGUUGUACGAUAAUUACUGUUCUUCAUGAGGACAUUUAUUCAAGUGGAGAUGGAUUUACCUUUCCUUUACAAAUGGAGUACCUUGCUGACAUCACCAUAAAAACCGAGCCUUUGAUAACCGGGUUGGCAGCAGAUGUUCACGGGCAGUUGACCAUAUUGAACAAGGGAAUGAUUGAUGGAUUUGGGAGCUCGAAGGGCAAGAUACACAAUUUUCAUUACAAGAUCAAGGAAAACAGUGUUGAUUAUUUCUAUCCAGGCAGUCGGUCAUGAAAACGUGCAAGUUCUGUUAUGGUAUUGCAUGUAUAAACUUUACCUGCAACGAAUACUGAAUCCGAAACAUAUUUUACUAGAUUUUCGUAUCGGUUUUGCAUUUGAAUUUUAGAAAAUUGGGGAAUUAGUAAUGGUUUAACCUUGGGUGUUCUGUUUGAAGGUUAUGUUUGCUGUCACUUGCCAAAACCCAAAAUGCGUGUUUAGACGCAUUCCACACAUUUAUUUGUAGCAAAGUUUGUUUUGUUUUUUAAUUAUAAAUGGAUUUGACAUUGCAUA